UCAUUAGUCGCUGAGUUUAAGCAUAUCAAUGAGUGAAGGAAAAGAAACUUAUAAGGAUUACCUUAGUAAUGGUGUGCAAACUGGGAAUAGCCCAGUCUUAGAAUAGGGUGGCUCUGUCAUCCGAAUUGUAGUUUUGAGAAGUGUCUCAGUGGCAUACUCAGCCUAAGUUUCCUAAAAAGUGGAACCAAAGAGGGUGAGAGCCCCGUUGCACCCGAACCGUAUCACACCAUGAGGCGUUGUCUACAAGUCGGGUUGUUUGGGAAUGCAGCCCAAAUCGGGUAGUGAAUUCCGUCCAAGGAUAAAUACGGGUGAGAGACCGAUAGCGGACAAUUACUGCGAGGGAAAUAUGAAAAAGAAUUUAAAAAGAGAGUCAAAGAGUGCUUGAAAUUAUCAGAACAGAAGAAGAUGGGGGACGGCGAUGCACCCCAGUCGGAUGUGGAACGACGAUGAGCUGGUCCGCUGAUCGACUCGGGGCGUUGACCUGUGUGGAUUGGGGGUGUCCAAAUCCUAGGCUCUCGAUACGUUUAUGGAACGCCAUCUGCUCGAUUAUGGCGGGCAGCACGCGUCUCUGGCGUGCUUCGGCAUCUGAGUGCUACGGAUGCUGGCCUGUGGGCUCCCCAUUCGACCCGUCUUGAAACUCGAACCAAAGAGUCUAACAUGUGUGCAAGUCAAUGAGUGAUUAAACCCAUUAGGCGCAAGGAAGCUGAUUGGUGAGAUCCCCCUGUGGGGUGCACCGUCGACCGACGUUGAUCUUCUGAGAAGGGUUCAAGUGUGAGCAUACCUGUCGGGACCUGAAAGAUGGUAAACUAUGCCUGAGCGGGGUAAAGCCAGAGGAAACUCUAGUGGAGGCCCACACCAAUACUGAUGUGCAAAUCAUUCGUGUUACUUGGUUAUAGGGGCGAAAGACUAAUCGAACCGUCUAGUAGCUGGUUCUAUCCGAAGUUUCCCUCAGGAUAGCUGGAGCUCACAUGCAAAUUCUAGUAGGUAAAGCCAAUGAUUAGAUGCCUCGGGAGUGCAACGCCCUCGACCUAUUCUCAAACUUUAAAUAGGUAGGACGGAGCGGCUGCUUUGUUGAGCUGCACCACAUAAUUAAGAGCUCCAGGUAGGCUAUUUUUGGUAGGCAGAACUAGCGAUGCGAGACGAACUACAAGUCAGGUUACGUUGCCAAAAUGCACUCUAACCUUGAUCGCACAAAGGGUGUUGGGUGAUUAAGACAGCAGGACGGUGGUCAUGGAAGUCGAAAUCCACUAAGGAGUGUGUAAAAACUCACCUGACGAAUCAAAUAGCCCUGAAAAUAGAUGAAGCCUAAGCGCACGACCUACAACCAGGCUUUGGGGCAAUUUCCAAUCCCAGAUGAGUAGAAGGGCGCGGCGAGCACUGCAGAACCUUAUGCGUUGGCUCGAGCUGAACGACCAUUGGUGCAGAUCUUGGUGGUAGUAGAAAAUAUUCAAAUGAGAACUUUGAAGGCCAAAGUGGGGAAAGGUUCCAUGUGAACGAAACUGACACAUUUGUUAGUCGAUCCUAAGGGUCGAGGGAACCCCGACAGAUAGCGCGUUUCGCGCGUACUCUGAAAGAGAAUCGGGUUAAAAUUCUGGAAUCGGGAUGUGGCGGUCAACGAUAAUGCUAGAAAAUCCAGAAACAUCGGUGGGAGACUCGAGAAGAGUUAUGUUUUCUAUUUAAUAGCCUACCCACCCUGGAAUCAGCUCAGUUAGAGGUAGGGUCCAGCGGCUGGAAGAGCACCACACGUCACGUGGUGUUCGAUGUGCUCCCGGCGUCCCUUAAAAAUCUGGAGGACCGAAUUCUGUCCAUGCCCGGUCGUACUAAUAACCACAUCAGGUCUCCAAGGUGAACAACCUCUAGUCGAUGGAACAAUGUAGGCAAGGGAAGUCGAUAAAAUAGAUCCCUAACUUUGGGAAAAGGAUUGGCUCUAAGGGAUGAGCACGGGGGUCCCAGUCCCGAACCCGUCGGCUGUCGAUGGACUGCUCGAGCUGCUCCUCCGGCAAGAGCGGGUCGCUGCGUGCUAAAUGGGGGACGGAAUGGGAAUGGUUCCUUUGGGGACCUUCCCCGCGCAUCGAACUGCCAACUUAGAACUAGUAUGGAUAAUGGGAAUUCGAUUGUUUAAUUAAGAGAAAGCAUUCCGAUAGUCCCAACGGAUGUACACGCAAUGUGAAUUUUGCCUAGUACUUUGAAUGUAAAAAUGAAGAAAUUCAACCAAGUACGGGAAAACAGUGGGAGUAAAUAUGACUCUCUUCAGGUAGCCAAUUGCCUCGUCAUCUAAUUAGUGAUGCGCUUGAAUGGAUUAACAAGAUUUCCACUAGUCCUGUCUACUAUUCAGCGAAAGUACAUCCAAGCGAAUAGGCUUGGCAGAAUCAGCGGGGAAAAAAGAUCCUGUUGAGCUUGACUCUAGUCCAACUUUUGAAAUGACUUUAGUGGUGUAGUAUAAGUAGGAGCCGAAAGGCGAAAGUGAAAUACCACUACUUUUAACAUUAUUUUAGUUAUUCUGUGAAUCGCAAGCUGGGCACUGCCCCUCUUUUUGAACCCAAGGGUCGCUCUGUGGGCUGAUUAGGGAGGAAGACAUUAUCAUCUGGGUAUUUUGGAUGGGGCAGAACAUCUAUUAAAAGAUAACGCAGGUGUCCAAAGAUUAGCUCAACGAGAACAGAAAUCUCAUGUGGAAUAGAAGGGUAAGAGCUUAUUUGUUUUGAUUUCCAGUACGAAUACAAACCUUGAAAGCAUGGCCUAACAAUCUUUUAGACCUUCAAAAUUCGAAGCUAGAGGUGUUUGAAAAGUUACCAUAGGAUUAACUGGCUUGUGGCAGCCAAACGUUCAUAGCGACAUUGCUUUUUGAUCCUUCGAUGUCGGCUCUUCCAAUCAUUGUGAAGCAGAAUUCACCAAGUGUUUAAUUGUUCACCUACCCAUAGGGUAUGGGAGUUGGGUUUAGACCAUCGUGAUACAGGUUAGUUUUACCCUACUGAUGAUAGUGCCGCUAUAGUAAUUCAACCUAGUACGAGAGAAACCAUUGAUUCACACAAUUGGUCAUCGUGCUUGGUUGAAAAAUUAGUGGUGCAAAGCUACCGUGUACUGGAUUAUAACUGAAUGCCUCUAAGUCUGAAUUGGGGCUAGAAGCGAUGAAUGCGCCCGCCGUCUGCUUGCUGACCCGUAGUAGGGACCUUUGCCUGGCUAUGCCAUCCCAGCGAAAGGGUUGCGGUGGCCGCCUUGAAAUACAAUUUCCAUCGAGUGGCGGGUAAAAUCCUUUGCAGACAACUUAUAUAUGUGAUGGGGUAUUGUAAGUGGCAUACUGGCCUUGCUGCCAAGAUCUACUGAGAUUCAUCCCUUUGUCGCUCCGGUUCAU
rnacentral:rRNA from 1 species